rfam:Otolemur garnettii contig189636, whole genome shotgun sequence.
AAAACUUCAUAAAUGUUUGAUAACCAUAUGCAAGAUGCCGACUUGAGCCUCUCCCAAUUCUCUAAUAACCUUGCUAGAGGUUAGCCAGGCAGGGCUCAAUAUACCUCUUCACCAAUGGAAUAGUUUCUGAUUGCAUUUGCUGUCACC